ACGGGAGGCAGCAGUGGGGAAUAUUGGGCAAUGGGCGCAAGCCUGACCCAGCGACGCCGCGUGAGUGAAGAAGUAUUUCGGUAUGUAAAGCUCUAUCAGCAGGGAAGAUAAUGACGGUACCUGACUAAGAAGCCCCGGCUAAAUACGUGCCAGCAGCCGCGGUAAUACGUAUGGUGCAAGCGUUAUCCGGAUUUACUGGGUGUAAAGGGAGCGCAGACGGCAUGGCAAGCCAGAUGUGAAAUGCGGGGGCUCAACUCCUGAACUGCAUUUGGAACUGUCAAGCUAGAGUAUCGGAGAGGUAAGUGGAAUUCCUAGUGUAGCGGUGAAAUGCGUAGAUAUUAGGAGGAACACCUGUGGCGAAGGCGGCUUACUGGACGAUAACUGACGUUGAGGCUCGAAGGCGUGGGGAGCAAACAGGAUUAGAUACCCUGGUA
rnacentral:rRNA from 1 species